UCAUGUGAAACGUCUCCUGAAAACAGCUCUGAGCUCGCUGAGAAACUGAAUCCAGAGCCUACAUGAUGAACACACCACCCUGCACCCUGUUUCUUGAAACAUUUUGCUCAGGAACAAUCAGAGUGAAGGUCGUCUGUGUGUGUUACUGGAGUCCACCUCUCUCACACUGCAGUCACCGUAACUCUCUGCAAGAUGAGCCAGAAUAAAAACAGACGAGUGGAGUUUCAUCUCAGUGGUGAACUGUCUUAAAUUUGUACCAAACACAGAUAAUAAUUCAAUCUGGUUCCUUCCACGUCUUUAAAAGGCCUCCCUAUGAUCACACACGUGAAAUAAAAUCAUCAGUUCAAGAUUCAUCUUCCAGUUGUGUAAAUAGUCUGCUUGUACAUUUUGUAUACAUUUUGUUUUUAUUACUAACAAACCAAAGCAAAUAA